rnacentral:pre_miRNA from 1 species
GAUGUACUCCCUCCGUUCGGAAUUACUUGUCUCGGAAAUGGAUGUAUCUAGAACUAAAAUACAUCUAGAUACAUCCAUUUUCGCGACAAGUAAUUCCGAACGGAGGGAGUACAAC